GUCAGUUUUGAGAGAAACGGUGAUACCUUUAGCACCUCCAAGUUUAAAGAGCUCGACAAGAUUUUUCUCUUUGACAACCUUAGAGAGGAUUGUCCGAUUAACAUUGGCGAAAUAGCUGGUGUCUUCGCGUGGUUGAUCAAUACUGAUGAGAAAACUUGCAGAUGCAGGCAAGAUAGAAUUAGAAAUCUCGUUGUGUUUUGCAAGAAUUUCAUUGAAGAGAGAAAGCAAGGCCCUUGAACAAUUGAUUUUUACGAAUGCCAAAUGCCAUCUCUUUCUAUUCAGCAAGCUGAUAAAAAGGUGGUUUGGAAGAUUGUGAACACGAUCCGAGCAAUGCAUGAUAUCUUGAAAAUUUUCAGUCAUGAUAAUGGUAAAACUCCAGAACGCAGUAAAAUGGACAACAAAAAAAAAUUGCAAAUCGAAAGACAGAAAAAUUUCUAACAAUCUGAAAUGGGAUCCAUCGAUUCCUCGACCGCUACAAGUGUAUAAACUUAACUUACGGUAAUAUGAAUGAAAUUGCAGUGUUUGCGUUGGAGUUUGGCAAUGAACAAUCUUGUCUAUAAAUACUCCUGUUGCCGCGUACUAAGUGUGUUUCCAGGCUGUUACAGUGGAAUUUGUGUUGGAAACUUACGAAGAACAGAUCUUAAUGAGUUUGUUCAACUGUAAAUAUUAG
rnacentral:lncRNA from 1 species